rnacentral:lncRNA from 1 species
CUGAUUCUCGUAAUUAAACAAACACUCGUACGAUCUCGUAUUAGUGUUGCGAUCCAAUUACGAACGAAUUCGAUCUCGUACUGACACGAUUCCACAAAAAAAAUUGUCAAAAGAGAGAGACAAAUUAAGAUGAUUUUAGUACAUUUACGAAUACUAAAAUAUAAAAUAUUAACAAAGCUAAUUAAUUGCAUAUUAAACCGGACAAAACCCAAAUCAAGAUUGAACCAAUAAAAAACAAAAACGAACUGAAACUAAAUUUAUUUUGGAGUAAUUUUUUCAAGUAGGAAAGUUUAUAACACCAGCCAAUCUCUUUUUUGUCAAUUAAAUGAUUAUAGUAGUCUAACGGUCAAAAGACAUAAAAUAGUAUAACUGAAGAUAAACUCAACGGUAAGCUUGUUAACAAAGACGACAACAACAAAAGGAGAUAUAUAUAUAUUUAAGUGGUGAAAAGAUCCGAGGAGACAUUUCAUUUGAGACCCAUAAACUAUUGUUCGAAAGAAAAACUGAUUAAAUGAUGUUGAUGCACCGAUAAGAAGAGGUUGGAGAUCGAUACAUAAAGACCGUCUCCAGUGGUGGACUGUUUACUACCAACCAAUCUAAAACUUCAUUUUAACAUGCAAAUUUAACAGAAAAAAAUUAACAAAAAAAAAAAUUGCCAGAAAAAUAAAUUAAAUUAGAAAAAGAUUGAAAAUAUGAAUGCUUCAACCUUUGAAAUGUGUCGCUAAGAGGAAACGAAGGUGUAAGAGAGAAACCAAAAACUUUCUCACACUUCCCAUCAUUUUUGUCACCCCUUCUUCUUUAUCUCAUGUCUCCUUCUAUUAACAUCCCUUACUUUCAGUCAAAAAAAAAAAAUAUCCCUUACUUUCAGUUUUUGAAUACAUAAAAUAAAAUAAAAAAUCAUUCCAAAGAUAUCAAUAAUUAUUUAUGUUUAAGAAUAUUUUUAUUACAUUACA